AGAGUUUGAUCAUGGCUCAGGAUGAACGCUAGCGGCAGGCCUAAUACAUGCAAGUCGGACGGGACUAUUUCUAGUAGCAAUACCGGGAAUAGUUUAGUGGCGAACGGGUGCUUAACACGUGGGCAACCUGCCAGGAAGUGGGGGAUAGCUCGCCGAAAGGCGAAUUAAUACCGCAUGUGAUUAGAGAGGACAUCCUUUCGAAAUUAAAGUCGGGGCAACCUGACGCUUCUUGUGGGGCCCGCGGCCUAUCAGCUAGUUGGUGAGGUUACGGCUCACCAAGGCUUUGACGGGUAGCUGGUCUGAGAGGACGACCAGCCACACUGGGACUGAGACACGGCCCAGACACCUACGGGUGGCAGCAGUCGAGAAUUUUUGACAAUGGGGGAAACCCUGAUCGAGCGACGCCGCGUGGAGGAUGAAGGUCUUCGGAUUGUAAACUCCUGUCAUUGGGGAACAAUGCACAGAUAUUAACUGUAUUUGUGUUGAUAGUACCCGAAGAGGAAGAGACGGCUAACUCUGUGCCAGCAGCCGCGGUAAUACAGAGGUCUCAAGCGUUGUUCGGAUUCAUUGGGCGUAAAGGGUGCGUAGGCGGCGCGGUAAGUCGGGUGUGAAAUCUCGGAGCUUAACUCCGAAACUGCAUUCGAUACUGCCGUGCUUGAGGA
rnacentral:rRNA from 1 species